rnacentral:lncRNA from 1 species
CUUCCAAAUUGCUCCAUAAUAAACUUCAUAUACUUUCUUAUCUCUCAUAUCGUAGCAAGCUCAAAUAAUUAAAUCAUCUCCUUUUCAGAAAAGUAAUUCAAUUCUAUUUUGUGUAAAUAACAUCUUAAAUAUUUGGAAAUAUUCCUUCCAUCAAAUUAGUCAACUUCGUUAACCACAAUGCUUUGGUUGCCAAAGCCUCUUUGCGAUCAUUGCC